rnacentral:lncRNA from 1 species
CUUCAAUAUACAAAUGAGGUGGAGUUAGGGCAGAAUUUAGUGUGCCUCGGGUCUUUGGAGAUAGUUUAAUGGUAUUUCCACCUGGAACUCAGUGUGCAAGUGCACUUAGUGUCCCCUCCUCCUGGUUCUGGAAGAGACUAAGGUGCAGCAUGGGAUUGUGGGUGUAAAGGGGUGGAGUUAGGUUGCAGGCUUCAAACUAAAACUGAAAAUAUUCAAGCUUUUCUUCCCCAUCUAACCCCCUGCUUAUACUUGCCCAAUGCCAAUUCUUUUAAGCUAACGUGUUCUCCUGUUUUGAAGAAUGAGUUGCAGCUAAUUUUCUCCUAGACACAGAUUAAUGAGAUUUUAUUGCUUUUGUUUGUUUCUUCUUGCUAGUGGACGUCAGAUGUGGAGAGAUGUUCAAUCCUGGGUGACUCCUGUGAGGCCUCUGUCGCUCCCCUCAGUUUCCCUCUGCCCCACAGUCCCAGCGCCACCAGCCCGAGGCACUACUGCUGCAGUGUUACCUGCUCACCACCAGCCAAGUCCCUACCAAGAGGCCUGCUCAAUGCUUUGCACAAGUGGACAAGACAGAAGUAAAGAAACAAAAGGCCAUGUUCCUGGGACGUCACUGACCUCUCUUGUCUGGAUUGUUUCCAAACUGUCCUGGCCCAUCAAGAAGAGACCUCAGCCAUGAACCCAAGCAAUGCUACAGAAAACAAUAUUUUCUUAUACGCUGUGUAUAUCUACAUUUAUUAGAGAACACUCUUGUUACCAUAAAGCAGUCACCAAACGUCCUGGUAUAUGGGAGUGUGCCCUACUUUUAAAAUGGAGUUAAUGAGGGGUGGAGCUGCAGUGCAGGUAAAGCUGCAGCUCACAAUGCUGGCUUCCUAUAUGGGCGGUGGUUCAUGUCCUGACUGCUAUACUUCCUAUCCAGCUCCCUGCUAAUGGCCUAAGAAAGCAGCAGAAGUUAGCCCAAGCAUUUUGGCUCCUGCCCCCUCACCCACAUGGGAGGCCUGGAAGAGCUCCUGGCUUUAGCCUGGCUCAGCACUGACCGUUCCAGCCAUCUGUGGAGUGAACAAAUGGAUGGAGGAUCUCUCCUCUGUAUCUCCUUCUCUCUGUGUAA